GCAGAUUAGUCCAACGUCCAACGCCAUUUGUUGCUCUGUUAACUCUCCUUUGGCUUCCCAUCGGUUUUCUAGUCUCUCUUAUCCGUGUCUACACGAAUAUUCCACUACCCGAGCGCAUUGCACGUUAUAACUACAAGCUCACAGGGAUCAAACUAGUCGUCAACGGCCACCCUCCUCCGCCGCCUAAGCCUGGCCAACCAGGCCACCUAUUGGUAUGCAACCACCGGACUGUACUCGACCCUGUGGUGACAGCUGUCGUGCUCGGUCGGAAAAUCAGCUGCGUAACCUACAGUAUCAGUAAAUUCUCUGAGUUAAUCUCUCCAAUCAAAACCGUUGCGUUGACUCGUCAGCGCGAUAAAGACGCAGCUAACAUCAAGCGUCUCUUGGAGGAAGGCGAUCUUGUGAUAUGUCCCGAGGGAACCACGUGCCGUGAGCCUUUCCUGCUUCGGUUUAGCGCCAUGUUCGCCGAGCUCACGGACCGGAUCGUCCCUGUGGCUAUCAACACCAAACAAAGCAUGUUUAAUGGUACAACCACACGUGGCUACAAGCUUCUUGAUCCUUACUUCGCGUUUAUGAAUCCCAUUCCCACGUUCGAGAUCACUUUCCUUAAGCAGCUGCCGGCUGAGCUGACAUGUAAAGGAGGCAAGUCGCCGAUAGAGGUGGCGAAUUACAUACAGAGGGUUUUGGCAGGAACCUUAGGGUUUGAGUGCACAAAUUUCACAAGAAAGGAUAAGUACGCAAUGCUAGCUGGCACUGACGGUAGGGUUCCAAUGAAGAAGGAGAAGAUAUAAUUAUUGAUUGGAUAAAAGAGAAGAUGAAGAAAUAAUACAAACAUUUGAAUAUUUUUCUUUUGGCUGGUUAGCUAUUACUACUUAAUUAAAAGGGAAAAGGAUAAAGUUUGUUUCUUUUGUCUUCUAUGAUUCCAAGAUAUUUUCUUCGCAUGUUUUUCUUUGUAAUAUUUCCAAGUUUUACUUUAGUACAAUAAGGGUUUAAAAAAAAACAGUGCUUGGUCCAUUUGCUUGGUCAGUUGGUUGUAUACUUGUAUAUAAUAUUUGUUAAUAGUGUGAACAUUAUUUUGUUAUAAAAGUUACAGCGUACACAGGUUUUCUAACUAUGACAGUAUGUGACAUUUCGUAUAUGAAUGUAGUAUAGCAAAAGUCAUAACCGCUAAAGAUCCAAUGUACUGUCGUCAUAACCACUGAAGAUCAAAUGUACCUUUGGAUGUCAUAUCAUAAGUCAUAACAAGUAACGUUAAAAUUAAAUCUACUUUUAUUUUUAUAUAUAUAGUAUUAGUAACUAAGACCACCGUGGGUUCUUAAGAGGUGUGGUCCACAAUUUUGUUAAAAACCAGUUCCUCUUUUUCUGCAAGAGGCGAUUUUUUUACUGUUCGCGGACCCCACUGACACGUGGCGAUCCGCAAUUGAUUCAUUUUUAAAUUUUUUUUUAAUCAGACAAAAAAAAUAAAAAUAAAUAAGAACCCUUAGCUUUAAUUAUGCUCUAAUGUAUCCUAUCAUUAUCAUAUGUCCGGAAUAUACAUCAAUGCAUUGAAUUCACAAAUUAACUACUCAUAUUAAAGCGACCAAAAUAAUUCAUCUGUUUCACAAAAGAAGAUUUGUAUUGACUUUUGACAGAUAAGAAAGUUGCUGCACCACAUGGAAAAACACCAUGAAAAGUCUUGUUAAAGCACUCUAAUGGGGGUUUCUCAACAUGAAAUUCUAAAGUUACAUAUAUAUUUAUGUAUAUAUAAAUAUUAAUAUUUAAUUAUGAGUAUCUAUAAAAUUUAUAUGUACAUACAUCUAUAUGUAUUUUUAGAAACUUAUGUUGAGAAACCCCAGUGAGGUUCCUCUUACACCUUUGAAUGUGAUUCUCGAUUUUUAGUUUACUUUGAAGUUAAAUCAAGAACAUGCUACAGGAUAUAUAUAUAUAUAUAUAGAUGGAGUUUGGCAGUUGUAGUGUUCUAUGGUGGACCAGUUAUGACUUAUGACUAUAACUCUUUUGUCUAUGAGAUCUUUGGCUGGUGACAUAUAAUUGUGGUAACUAUGAAAAACCCAGACCGGGUAGAAAUCUAAGGAUUCAAGAUCAUGAUCAUAAUUGUUUUAGCAAGCCCGUGUUUAGAAAUGUGGUUUAUGUUUUGACUCUAAUAGAAACUCUUAUGCCAGAUCACAAAACCGGAACUAAUGUUUUACACCAGUUUGCUUUCAAAUUUAGCGUCAAAACGUAUUUGUGAAUCUUCUUUCAAGUUUUGUUUAGAUGUGUAGAUUUAUCAAGAUCACUUUAACAUUUUUUUUUAUCAUUGCUAACUUUUGGAUAAAGAAAAGUAACAACAUACCCCAAUUUUAAUUACAGUUAUGUCCAUUCUCUAACUUUAGUUUCGGUUUCAUGUUAAGUUUAAAACCCAGUCUAAAUUGACAAACCUGUCGAUUGUUUUCAAUGAAUUUACGUUGCCAGUACUCUAGCACAUAUCAUUUACUUGACUGAUAUCUACCAAGUAGUAAUCUAUUUAGUCUACCAAGAAAACGCAUAUCAAUUUAAAUGACCAAUCUAGUUAGGUGCAGAUCACUAGCUAGUUCGAUAUUUGCUUAUAUCAAGUUGUAUGUAUGUGCAAGUACAUCUAGUUAAUCACGGGUUUCAUAUCCAAUAUACUAGCAGCAUAUUCUACUCUCAAGUCGCUAUAUCUAUAAAUGGAAUAAUGAAUAGAUAAUAAAAAACUAUGACCAUUCUUGGGUCUACUAUUGUCAUAUGAUUAUGACUCGACCAUUAAUUUCCAUCACGAGGGUAUCUACUUAGGCACCCUCUUAAAUAUUUGAACAACCGUUGGGCGUCGAUAACAACCUCUCCUUUCUGCGAAUAUUUACUCCCCAAAUUUAUACUGUAUUUAUUUGGAAGUUUUCAAUCCAAUUGGUUUCAACAAGUUUUCGAUCUUGACUUUGAUUUAUUAUCUUUUGAUUUUAUGGAACAAUUUCUGAUUCGCGGAUGUAGUAGAUAAUUAAACGUUAUAAGAAAUAAAAUUUGUUAUUAAGGACGCCGAAUUGAUUUAAUGGUUAACUAGAUUAAUUAGUAAUUUAGUAUAUAUUUUGGAAGUCACAUAUUUAAAUCGCAAAAGGAGAAAUCUGUUUUUUGAAACGAUAUUACAUGAUUUAGAUUUUAUUAUAGAGCAAGUAUGGGCUGAGAGAUCUACAAUUUUUUAAUCACGAAAAAGAAGUAAGAUCAGUAGUGAUUUCACAUGCCGUUAAAUUAAAAUGUUCAACCCUAUAUGUGGAUGAUUUAUCUCUUAGACUCUUUUAAUAAUAGUUGAGACUUGAGAUCCAUUUUUUCAUCUCGAUCUCAGUCACCAAAGAUUCCAUGACAUAAAGGAGUUUGGUUUCCUGAAGCUACUCCUAAGUACUAGUUCAUUACAUGCAUGGUUUGCAAUGCAUAACAGAUUGUCAACCGGAGACCGGAUCCUCAGGUGGAACUCUCAAGCUGUUUUUACUUGUUGGCUAUGUAACUCGGCUGUAGAAACUAAAGACUAUUUGUUCUUUGAAUGUUUCCAGGAAUCAUAAAAGACUUGGACGGUCCAGGCUGUCCGAAUCAAUGGACUCCUCUGUAGGACCGUACCUCACUUUUUCUAAGUUAGAAGCAUAAAUUUUUUUUUGAUCCUUUAGUCUGUUUUAAUGUAAAACUUUUAACCUAAAAUAAGUGAUAAAGACAAUCCAUUCUCAACUUCUAAAUCACCCUUUACUCUCUCUCUCUCUCUGUUCUCUUCUUUUUCUGCUCUCUCCAGCUUAUUCCCUGAUGGGGGCUCACGAGAAGCGGCGUCGUUUCGAGCCAAUAUCAAGUUACGAGAUUAAGGACCGGUCGAACCAAACCGUUGCCGCUGAUCUUGACGGGACCUUACUAAUCUCUCGUAGUGCAUUUCCUUAUUAUUUUCUCGUGGCCCUCGAAGCAGGGAGCUUACUCCGAGCCUUGAUCUUACUCGCAUCCGUACCGUUUGUUUACCUCAUGUACCUCUCAAUUUCCGAGACUCUAGCCAUCAACGUUUUCAUCUUUAUCACCUUCGCGGGUCUCAAGAUCCGAGACGUCGAGCUCGUGGUCCGUUCCGUACUUCCAAGGUUCUACGCCGAGGAUGUGAGGCCAGACUCGUGGAGUAUCUUCAACACGUUCGGGAAACGUUACAUAGUAACAGCGAGUCCACGGAUCAUGGUCGAACCGUUCGUGAAGACAUUCCUAGGUGUCGAUAAAGUUCUUGGAACAGAACUCGAGGUUUCCAAAUCCGGUCGGGCAACCGGUUUUGUCAGAAGACCCGGUGUUCUUGUCGGUCAACACAAACGCGAUGCCGUUUUGAGAGAGUUCGGUGGCGUUGCGUCUAGUUUACCUGAUUUGGGGCUUGGCGAUAGUAAGACAGACCACGAUUUCAUGACAAUUUGCAAGGUUAUUCACGCCAUCCUCUCUACUUUUUCUGUAUGAUAUGUCAUUUUCAUUUAUUUUUAUUACUAUCUAACUCAUUAAAUACUAUAUUCACGACAUUAUGAGUAUCAUAUGUCGUUGGACGUACGUGCAACUUUUUUGGUGUAGUAGUUAUUGUGUUGUCCUGUGAUGUUUAUUGCUUACUAUUCUUCCUAAUGAUUUUUGGCCAAUCAUAUCAUCUAUAUUUUAAAUGUGUAGUAGCACUUGGUGGAGAUAAAAUUAGAUAAAUAACCGUAAACAAGUUAUUUGUCAACAAAUAUAUGUUAUUUUUCUAGAUAACAUGUUCUUUUACGCUGACUAAUAAUAAUAUGUGAAUGAUUAGCGGGAUAGUAAAAGCUAUCUAUUAGGAUCAAUCUAUAUCUUAAGUUUUUAUUUAUAAUUUUAUAUUAAAAUUUUAAAGGUGGUGUAAGAAAUAAAUAAAAAAUGAUUACAGGAUUCCGGUUCACUAUACAAUCUUCUAUUUUGUAAGCUGUAAGAAAAAAAUAUGGUUAAAACUUUUUUUUUGUUUUUGAUGAAAUUUUUACUUUUAUAGCGGAGAUAUGUGCAACAAUAACUUCUACAUACUAAAUCCUAGUUGCAUCCUAGCAAAUUAUCUUUUUGUCAUGCUAAAUUACAUGAUAUUUCAUAAAGAGAAGUAUCAUCACCAAUUAAAUGUUUUUGGAAAAUAAAAAGGUUUUUCUUUGUUGCAAAUAAAAAGGCUGUAGUCAAUACUUAUUAACUUUCUUAUCUACCUAAUGCCCAUUUAAAAAAAAAAACUUUUUUUAUUGUUUGAAACCUUUCAAGUGAAUUUGGAAACUGUGAUAAAAAUAAUAACUUGGGUUCUUCAUAUACUAACCAUCGUUUUUUGUUUUGUUUUUAAUUGUCUUCAUGUAAAAGCCUGAUAAUGUUUUGUUUUGUUAUUCUUGACUCUCCUUUCAUUUUGUAAACUGCUAAUCAAUUAUCCUAAUUAGUUAUAUAAAUUAAUACUAAAUAAUUACAUAAAUUACGUACCAUGUAAUCUGGAUACAUGUUUUCUAGCCACUAAUAAAUUUGAUAGUACGCAUGUCUCUCUCGUGACUACUUCGGUGUCGCAUCUCCAUCUCCUAUAUGAUAGGAAAAAAAUGAAAAGUGCAUGCUACUAAUUACUAGACAAUUACGUACAAACCACAACUACUUUUGUGCUUCAAUUAAUAUAACAAAAUUUGUGAUUACUGACUGCAGGAGGGUUACAUGGUGCCACGUACAAAAUGCGAACCAUUACCAAGAAACAAACUCUUAAGCACUAUAAUAUUCCACGAGGGCAGAUUAGUCCAACGUCCAACGCCAUUUGUUGCUCUGUUAACUCUCCUUUGGCUUCCCAUCGGUUUUCUAGUCUCUCUUAUCCGUGUCUACACGAAUAUUCCACUACCCGAGCGCAUUGCACGUUAUAACUACAAGCUCACAGGGAUCAAACUAGUCGUCAACGGCCACCCUCCUCCGCCGCCUAAGCCUGGCCAACCAGGCCACCUAUUGGUAUGCAACCACCGGACUGUACUCGACCCUGUGGUGACAGCUGUCGUGCUCGGUCGGAAAAUCAGCUGCGUAACCUACAGUAUCAGUAAAUUCUCUGAGUUAAUCUCUCCAAUCAAAACCGUUGCGUUGACUCGUCAGCGCGAUAAAGACGCAGCUAACAUCAAGCGUCUCUUGGAGGAAGGCGAUCUUGUGAUAUGUCCCGAGGGAACCACGUGCCGUG
rnacentral:lncRNA from 1 species